ACUUACGGGGGGCAGCAGUGGGGGAUAUUGCACAAUGGGGGGAACCCUGAUGCAGCGACGCCGCGUGGGCGAUGGAGUACUUCGGUAUGUAAAGCCCUAUCAGCAGGGAAGAAAAUGACGGUACCUGACUAAGAAGCCCCGGCUAAAUACGUGCCAGCAGCCGCGGUAAUACGUAUGGGGCAAGCGUUAUCCGGAUUUACUGGGUGUAAAGGGAGCGUAGGCGGCCUGGCAAGCCUGAUGUGAAAUACCGGGGCCCAACCCCGGGGCUGCAUUGGGAACUGCCAGGCUAGAGUGCAGGAGGGGCG
rnacentral:rRNA from 1 species